CGGGUUGUAAAGUACUUUUGUUAGGGAAGAAAAGGGAAGUGCUAAUACCACUUUUUGCUGACGGUACCUAAAGAAUAAGCACCGGCUAACUACGUGCCAGCAGCCGCGGUAAUACGUAGGGUGCGAGCGUUAAUCGGAAUUACUGGGCGUAAAGCGAGCGCAGACGGUUAUUUAAGCAGGAUGUGAAAUCCCCGGGCUUAACCUGGGAACUGCGUUCUGAACUGGAUAGCUAGAGUGUGUCAGAGGGGGGUAGAAUUCCACGUGUAGCAGUGAAAUGCGUAGAGAUGUGGAGGAAUACCGAUGGCGAAGGCAGCCCCCUGGGAUAACACUGACGUUCAUGCUCGAAAGCGUGGGUAGCAAACAGGAUUAGAUACCCUGGUAGUCCACGCCCUAAACGAUGUCGAUUAGCUGUUGGGCAACUUGAUUGCUUAGUAGCGUAGCUAACGCGUGAAAUCGACCGCCUGGGGAGUACGGUCGCAAGAUUAAAACUCAAAGGAAUUGACGGGGACCCGCACAAGCGGUGGAUGAUGUGGAUUAAUUCGAUGCAACGCGAAGAACCUUACCUGGUCUUGACAUGUACGGAACCUUCCAGAGACGGAAGGGUGCCUUCGGGAGCCGUAACA
rnacentral:rRNA from 1 species